AGUGAACGCUGGCGGCGUGCCUAAUACAUGCAAGUCGAACGGAGUGGCGCACGGGUGAGUAAUAUAUAGCUAAUCUGACCCUUGCUGGAGGACAACAGUUAGAAAUGACUGCUAAUACUCCAUAGCAAGGGAUGAGACUAUAUCGUAUCAGCUAGUCGGGUGGGUAACGGCCUACCGAGGCGAUGACGCGUAACUGGUUGGAGAGGAUGAUCAGUAACAUUGGAACUGAGACACGGGCCAAACUCCAACGAGAGUCAGCAGUAGGGAAUAAUGCGCAAUGGGGGUGUCCCUAACGCAGCAACGCCGCGUGGAGGAUGAUACGUUUCGGAGCGUCAACUCCUUUUGUUAGGGAAGCGGUACCUAACGAAUAAGCACCGGCUAACUCCGUGCCAGCAGCCGCGGUAAUAC
rnacentral:rRNA from 1 species